UACAUUAUUAUGUGUAAGUCUCUUUGGAUAAAAGUGUCUGCUAAAUGCAAUGUA
rfam:Astyanax mexicanus chromosome 18, whole genome shotgun sequence.